GCCUGGGUGGCUCAGUCAGGAAAGCAUCUGACUUCAGCUCAGGUCAUGAUCUCACCGGUUGGUGAGUUCGAGCCCCACAUUAGGCU
rnacentral:tRNA from 1 species